UACGUAGGGAGCAAGCGUUGUCCGGAAUCAUUGGGCGUAAAGGGUUAGUAGGUGGCCAACUAAGUCAGACGUGAAAUCCCUCAGCUUAACUGGGGAACUGCGUCUGAGACUGAUUGGCUCGAGGACAGGAGAGGAACGCGGAAUUCCAGGUGUAGCGGUGAAAUGCGUAGAUAUCUGGAGGAACACCGGUGGCGAAGGCGGCGGUCUGGACUGUAUCUGACACUGAAUAACGAAAGCCAGGGGAGCAAACGGG
rnacentral:rRNA from 1 species